rnacentral:pre_miRNA from 1 species
CAAGUACUCCCUCCGUCCGGAAAUACUUGUCAUCAAAAUGAACAAAAGGGGAUGUAUCUAGAUGUAUAUUAGUUCUAGAUACAUCUCUUUUUAUCCAUUUUGAUGACAAGUAUUUUCGGACGGAGGGAGUAGUGU